CAAGCAUAUCAUCAUCAUGAUCCCAAUGGCUCCGCUGAAUACUGUGUAGAUGCAAAAACCACUCAAAACUUGUAAUACGAAAAUUAUCUCAUAAUAUGGAGUGAUCUGUUCGUUGAUAAAUGGAAGUUUCCUUUUGUUGCUUUUUUCCUUGAAGAAUACGUAGUAAAAACCUGGACUGACGAAGAACAACGCCAAGGAAAUAAUAAUGGAACGAAUAACCCGUUGUAAUAUCUUCAUGCACAACGACGAUUCUGGAGGAAGUGGCCAGACACCGAGUGCCAUUAUAAAGGGUUCCACUGGCUGAAAGCUCAAGCUCGAUUGGUCAAAUGUGCGUGAUGAAAUGCUUACAAAGGGAAGCACCACUACCCCUUUCAAACGGCAGGCAUACGCUUGCGUUUGCGUUUAUAAAUUUUUAAGCAUCGCGAGAUGA